GCUGGGCACAGUGGUGCGCACCUGUAAUCCCAGUGGCUCGGAGGCUGAGGCAGGAGGAUCGAAAGUUCAAAGCCAGCCUCAGCAAUGGAGAGGCGCUAAGCAACUCAGUGGGAUCCUGUCUCUA
rnacentral:sRNA from 1 species